CCUACGGGAGGCAGCAGUGAGGAAUAUUGGUCAAUGGACGAGAGUCUGAACCAGCCAAGUAGCGUGAAGGAUGACUGCCCUAUGGGUUGUAAACUUCUUUUAUAAAGGAAUAAAACGAGGCACGUGUGCCUUUUUGCAUGUACUUUAUGAAUAAGGAUCGGCUAACUCUGUGCCAGCAGCAGCGGUAAUACGGAGGAUCCGAGCGUUAUCCGGAUUUAUUGGGUUUAAGGGGAGCGAAGAUGGGUUGUUAAGUCAGUUGUGAAAGUUUGCGGCUCAACCGUAAAAUUGCAAUUGAUACUGGCAGUCGUGAGUACAGUUGAGGUAGGCGGAAUUCGUGGUGUAGCGGUGAAAUGCUUAGAUAUCACGAAGAACCCCGAUUGCGAAGGCAGCUUACUAAACUGUGACUGACAUUGAUGCUCGAAAGUGUGGGUAUCAAACAGGAUUAGAUACCCGAGUAGUC
rnacentral:rRNA from 1 species